rnacentral:rRNA from 1 species
GAUGAACGCUAGCGGCAGGCUUAACACAUGCAAGUCGCGGGGCAGCGGGGGAUGAGCUUGCUCAUCCCGCCGGCGACCGGCGCACGGGUGAGUAACACGUAUGCAACCUGCCCCUGUCAGGGGGACAACCCACCGAAAGGUGGGCUAAACCCGCGUACAUCCGGAGGGGGCAUCCCCUUGGGAGGAAAGGAGCGAUCCGGACAGGGAUGGGCAUGCGGCGCAUUAGCUAGACGGCGGGGUAACGGCCCACCGUGGCGACGAUGCGUAGGGGUUCUGAGAGGAAGGCCCGCCACACUGGUACUGAGACACGGACCAG